rnacentral:tRNA from 1 species
UGGUAGAGCAUCUGAUUUGUAAUCAGAGGGUCGGGCGUUCGAAUCGUCUAGUCGGCAUUAAGAUGCGGAAGUA